GGCGCACGGGUGAGUAACGCGUGGAUAAUCUGCCCUUUAGUUUGGAAUAACGUACCGAAAGGUGCGCUAAUACCGGAUAAUACUGAAUGACUACUGUUGUUUAGUCAAAGAAGGCUUCUGUUUACAUGCUUUUGCUGAAGGAUGAGUCCGCGUACCAUUAGCUAGUUGGUAGGGUAAUGGCCUACCAAGGCGACGAUGGUUAGCUGGUCUGAGAGGAUGAUCAGCCACACUGGAACUGAGACACGGUCCAGACUCCUACGGGAGGCAGCAGUGAGGAAUAUUGCGCAAUGGGGGCAACCCUGACGCAGCAACGCCGCGUGAGUGAGGAAGGUUUUCGGACCGUAAAGCUCUGUCGAGCGGGAAGAAAUGCAUGGUGGCUAAUAUCCAUCAUGCUUGACGGUACCGCUAAAGGAAGCACCGGCUAACUCCGUGCCAGCAGCCGCGGUAAUACGGGGGGUGCGAGCGUUGUUCGGAAUUAUUGGGCGUAAAGAGCGUGUAGGCGGCCGAAUAAGUCAG
rnacentral:rRNA from 1 species